UGAGCUCCAGAUUCUCUCCUCUAGGGUGGCAGGGAAUCAUCAGUCAGAUGCCUCAGUGUCAGAUUAGGUUCCCAGAACAUUAUCACUGAAGUCUGAGCCCUGAGCUGGGCUAUCCCAGAAACAACCAGUGGUGACUGCCUUCCUACAGUAAAUGGACCAAAGAUUUCUUCCCAGAAAAAGUUUAUUUACUGAAAUUAACUCCUCUACUUCCUAAUUCUUAAUCUUUGAGCAGCUGGAAAUAGAUCAAAAUGGAGUAACUCUCUGUCUUUAGAGUAAGCAUAGAUCAUCAAGAACCCAGAGAACAGUAAACUCACAGAAAGGAGUUUAAACUUGAGUUUUCAUCAACAGUGAUGUUUCAGAAAAUGAAUGCAAGUGCUUCCAAGACCUGCAGUUUUGAGAAAGUAGAUUCUAAAGCAUUAGCAUUGAAUUUGUAUACAAUGAAGUAUGCACUUGGCAUCACAGAGCACGACAACUAUUACUGAAGAAUGUACAGAAAUAACCUCAUCUCCACAAUAACAGUAUGAAAGCAUUUUUUCCUUGCUGAUAAAAAUCAGGGGUAUCCAAAACCAACACUGGAGCAAUUUCACUUCUUGAUAUAUAUCCAAAAGAACUGAAGACAGGAUCUCAAAGGAAUAUUUGCACACUCAUGUUCAUUGGAGCAUUAUUCACAACGGUCAAGAGGUGGAAGUAACCAAGUGUCUGUCAGUAGAUAAAUGGAUGAAAAAUAUGUC
rnacentral:lncRNA from 12 species